UUUUGACCACAUUUUAUUAAAAAUGUACCGGUAAGGUUAACUAAUAAAUCCCUUGCAAUUUUGUUAAUUUUGGCCAAAAAUGAAAUUUCUUGAAUGUUGCCAGUAAGAUGCCAGAGGGUCCCUUUAGCACAGUACUUAAUGUUUUGUGGGACAAAUCUACUGUUCAACGCAUUCAGUCAGGUUAACCCUUGGAAAUUAAUUGCGGAAGGUUAUCCCUUUGGAACUUAAUUGUGCAAGGUUAACCCCUUGGAACUUAAUUGUGUAAGGUUAACCCCUUGGAACGUAAUUGUGCAAGGUUAGCCCCUUGGAACUUAUUUCUGUAAGGUUAGCCCCUUGGAAUUUAAAUGUGCAAGGUUAACCCCUUGGAACUUAAUUCUGUAAGGUUAACCCCUUGGAACUUAAUUGUGUAAGGUUAACCCCUCGGAACCUCAUUUUGUAAGGUGUUAACCUUGGAACUUAAUGCUGUAAGAUUAACCCCUUGGAACUUAAUGUUAUAAUAAUCAAUUGUCGUAGAAAAAAAAAACAUAAACACACUGCUCAGAAUAAAAGUUAAACUAGUUUUUAUUUCAAAGAUAAAUCAUUAGCUUCAUUAUUCAAACAUAGGCCUGGAAAUACUAAUCGCAAUUGUUGAUUGUUUUUGGUAUAAUAAAUUCACUUCUGUCAAAUUGUGAUUUAUAUUAUAAGGAACUUCAAGUUCUAAUGCUUCUUUGUCUUUUAUAAAUGUGAAACAUAGUUUCAAAAAGUCAUUAUGAUCAAUCAUAUUUAAAGUAAUUUGAGACUGGAAGAUUAAAAAUAAAUUUUGUCUGCAGUGUCAAAGGCAUAAAACUGGUAAGACUAGUACACUGGUUGACGAUUCAUAGUGCAUUCUAUAUUUCAGAUAUUUAAAUGUCAUUAUUUUAUUUCAAAUUGAUAAA